CGGGCGGACGGGUGAGUAACGCGUGGGUAACCGACCCUGUACACACGAUAACAUACCGAAAGGUAUGCUAAUACGGGAUAAUAUAUUUGAGAGGCAUCUCUUGAAUAUCAAAGGUGAGCCAGUACAGGAUGGACCCGCGUCUGAUUAGCUAGUUGGUAAGGUAACGGCUUACCAAGGCGACGAUCAGUAGCCGACCUGAGAGGGUGAUCGGCCACAUUGGAACUGAGACACGGUCCAA
rnacentral:rRNA from 1 species